rnacentral:sRNA from 1 species
CAGGCCGCCUCCCACCGCGUUCUUGCUCAGCGCCCGGCUCCCAGCCGCGAUUUCCGCAAGCUGUUCCGGUUCACGCCGGGGACUCGCGAGUGCGCGCGGACACAAUGACGGGACCGCAGGAGCUGGAGCGUCCGCGGCGCUGCACGGUGAAUCUUAGCUUGCCGGCCGGGUUUCGCGAGCCCCGCCCCACGCCUGCACACGUCGGCCCCGCCCCCUCCCCGCGGCCACGCCUCACGCCCGCUUGCUUCGCUUCCACCUUUGUGCUAGGACCCCGCGGUCUACACACAGCCCUUUUCCUUCCCACUGCUUUGGAAGCAGAUUCUCCAGGCGUGAAAGUGCGCAGUGGCCGGCACCCUGUCUAAAAGUCUUCGCCUUCUAGACGCCAAUGCGGCUCUCCGCUCUUCCGCUCUUGAGUCUCAACGGCAGGAAGUAGAUAGUGGCCCUAGGAGCCACGAGAGGGCGCGCACUGGAGGGGGGCCUUGUUGCUGCCUCUUGAGGGCGGCCGGCCAGUGUGUUGCUAAUGUUAGAAGGAGUUCCCAGUUGAGUUAGGAGCUCAUCUCCUGUCAAUCUCUUCGGAGGACUUGGGAGUCAGCCUGGGGACAGGAGCUGAAGUCAUGACGAAUUAACUGUAGUGUUCUGAGUUUUUGGACUACACUUGUUUUAUGUUUCACCUGCCGUAGAUUUUGUGCGUGGGUUGACUCGUGAACCAAGAUAAACGUUGAAAAGAUUUAAGAUGAGGAAAGCCACUUAAAUCCUUUCCAAAUAGUGAAGGGUACUGGGGCCCUUCUACCAUCCUCAACCAGGCAUAAACAGGUGAUAAAAUGAGACAAAGGAAGUUCCAUCAAAGAUGGAAGAUGUCAUCCGGCAAAGUCCUUCCUCCAGUCAGCCUCCUUGAAAGAUCAAAGUGGGUGCAACCAGGUUGCGUUCUCAACCUUUCUCAAAAAGUGUGCUUUGCCGCACACACUGCACACACUGCUCUUCCUUAGCCAGUCUCAUAAAAACGUGAGACCAGGCUCUGACUUCUCAGAGGAAGACACAAGACCCUUUAUGAAGAAUAAAACCCGGUAACACGACCACAUGACUUACCACAGUGCACCAUUUUGAAGAAUUAAAACUUUUGCCUGAUACCAGUUU